AACGAACGCUGGCGGCAAGCCUAACACAUGCAAGUCGAACGAAUUAUCCUUAUAGUUUACUAUAAGUAUAAUUAGUGGCAGACGGGUGAGUAAUGCAUAGGAAUCUACCUAGUAGUAUGGAAUAGCUGUUAGAAAUGACAGGUAAUACCGUAUAAUCCCUGAGGGGGAAAGAUUUAUCGCUAUUAGAUGAGCCUAUGUUAGAUUAGCUAGUUGGUGAGGUAAUGGCUUACCAAGCUGUGAUCUAUAGCUGGUCUGAGAGGACGAUCAGCCACACUGGAACUGAGAUACGGUCCAG
rnacentral:rRNA from 1 species